UACGGAGGGGGCUAGCGUUGUUCGGAAUUACUGGGCGUAAAGCGCGCGUAGGCGGACCUGCAAGUCGGGGGUGAAAGCCCGAGGCUCAACCUCGGAACUGCCUUCGAUACUGCGGGUCUCGAGUCCGGGAGAGGUGAGUGGAAUUCCUAGUGUAGAGGUGAAGUUCGUAGAUAUUAGGAGGAACACCAAUUGCGAAGGCAGCUCGCUGGGACGUUACUGACGCUGAGACGCGAAAGCGUGGGGAGCAAACAGG
rnacentral:rRNA from 1 species